AGAGUUUGAUCCUGGCUCMSNWUGAACGCUGGCGGAAUGCUUUACACAUGCAAGUCGAACGGUAGAGGGGGCAACCCCUUGAGAGUGGCGAACGGGUGAGUAAUAUAUCGGAACGUGCCCAGUCGUGGGGGAUAACGUAGCGAAAGUUACGCUAAUACCGCAUACGAUCUAAGGAUGAAAGCGGGGGAUCGCAAGACCUCGCGCGAUUGGAGCGGCCGAUAUCAGAUUAGGUAGUUGGUGGGGUAAAGGCUCACCAAGCCAACGAUCUGUAGCUGGUCUGAGAGGACGACCAGCCACACUGGAACUGAGACACGGUCCAGACUCCUACGGGAGGCAGCAGUGGGGAAUUUUGGACAAUGGACGAAAGUCUGAUCCAGCCAUUCCGCGUGCAGGAUGAAGGCCCUCGGGUUGUAAACUGCUUUUGUACGGAACGAAAAGGUUUCUAUUAAUACUAGGAGCUCAUGACGGUACCGUAAGAAUAAGCACCGGCUAACUACGUGCCAGCAGCCGCGGUAAUACGUAGGGUGCAAGCGUUAAUCGGAAUUACUGGGCGUAAAGCGUGCGCAGGCGGUUAUAUAAGACAGAUGUGAAAUCCCCGGGCUCAACCUGGGAACUGCAUUUGUGACUG
rnacentral:rRNA from 1 species